rnacentral:rRNA from 1 species
GACUACUCGGGUAUCUAAUCCUGUUUGCUCCCCACGCUUUCGUGCCUCAGCGUCAGUUACAGUCCAGAAAGCCGCCUUCGCCACUGGUGUUCCUCCUAAUAUCUACGCAUUUCACCGCUACACUAGGAAUUCCGCUUUCCUCUCCUGCACUCAAGUAAUCCAGUUUCAAAUGCAACACCCGAGUUAAGCCCGGGGAUUUCACAUCUGACUUGGAUUACCGCCUACGCACCCUUUACGCCCAAUAAUUCCGGACAACGCUCGCUCCCUACGUAUUACCGCGGCUGCUGGCACGUAGUUAGCCGGAGCUUCCUCCUUGGGUACCGUCAUUUUUUUCGUCCCCAAGGACAGAGGUUUACAAUCCGAAGACCUUCUUCCCUCACGCGGCGUUGCUGGGUCAGGCUUGCGCCCAUUGCCCAAUAUUCCCCACUGCAGCCCCCCGUAGG